rnacentral:rRNA from 4 species
UUGUCUCAAAGAUUAAGCCAUGCAUGUCUCAGUACAAGCCAAAUUAAGGUGAAACCGCGAAAGGCUCAUUAAAUCAGUUAUGGUUCCUUAGAUCGUACCCACAUUUACUUGGAUAACUGUGGUAAUUCUAGAGCUAAUACAUGCAAACAGAGCUCCGACCGGAGACGGAAGGAGCGCUUUUAUUAGAUCAAAACCAAUCGGUGGCGGUUCCCGUCAUCGUACAACUUGGUGACUCUGAAUAACUUUACGCUGAUCGCACGGUCUCGCACCGGCGACGCAUCUUUCAAAUGUCUGCCUUAUCAACUGUCGAUGGUAGGUUCUGCGCCUACCAUGGUUGUAACGGGUAACGGGGAAUCAGGGUUCGAUUCCGGAGAGGGAGCCUGAGAAACGGCUACCACAUCCAAGGAAGGCAGCAGGCGCGCAAAUUACCCACUCCCGGCACGGGGAGGUAGUGACGAAAAAUAACGAUACGGGACUCAUCCGAGGCCCCGUAAUCGGAAUGAGUACACUCUAAACCCUUUAACGAGGAUCAAUUGGAGGG